UCGCAUCGAUGAAGAACGUAGAGAAAUGCGAUACUUGGUGUGAAUUGCAGAAUCCCGCGAACCAUCGAGUUUUUGAACACAAGUUGCGCCCGAGGCCACCCGGCCGAGGGCACGCCUGCCUGGGCGUCACGCCUCGCGUCGCUCCGCCUACCUCGCCCUGAGCACCUCGUGCUCUUACGGCGGCGGGCGGCGG
rnacentral:rRNA from 1 species